UUUUUUUUUUUUUCGGUUUUUUCCCCUGUAAAACCUCUUCAAGGCUCAAGCAAUGACACCAUCACAAUUGUUAAUUAUUUGGUAAACUGUGACUUCCUUGCAACAGAUGAGUUGUUAGUGACCCUUGUUCCUGUGUCCAUGACUAAUGUGUUAUCUGGACUGUUCUGGGAAAAAAAAAAAAAAAAUCCGUGGACACUGUUGGUCUGAGUUGGGAACAGAAUGGCUGAGACAGAAGCAUUUUUAGCCGAUGGCAAUCAGGAGUUACUUCCCUGUGAAGUCUGUGGAAGACGCUUUGCAGCAGAUGUUCUGGAAAGACAUGGACCAAUAUGUAGGAAACUCUUCAACAAAAAGCGUAAACCUUUCAAUUCCCUGAAACAAAGAUUACAGGGCACUGACAUUCUCAUUGUGAGAACAGCUCCUCAGUCCAAGCAUCAACCUGUGAGGAGAUCUAACUGGAGACAACAGCAUGAAGAUUUCAUUAAUGCAAUCCGUUCAGCCAAGCAGUCUACACUAGCCGUUAAAGAAGGCCGACCUCUCCCACCUCCACCUCCUGCAUCCAUCAACCCAGAUUAUAUUCAGUGCCCAUACUGUAUGAGGAGGUUUAAUGAAACCGCAGCCAGUCGGCAUAUUAAUUUCUGCAAGGAUCAGUCUUCUCGCCGAGUCUUUGAUCCAGCCCAGACAGCAGCCAAAAUGGCAUCCAGGGUGCAGGCUAGGGCUCAGAUGAGUCCCAAAAAAGAGCCAACUGUAACCAGUGCCGUGAGAGUGUUGCUGCAGAACAGGGCCCUGGGAUCCCCGACUGUGGUCCCAGCUAGGCCAGGAUUAGCAGUGGACCCUGCUUCUGGAGCAAAACUCAGACAAGGAUUUACUAAAUCUUCUAAAAAAGAUUAACUCCUAGAGGCCAGGUAAGGGGGAAAAAAAAAUUAACCUCUAAUCCAGGUGUUGCUAAUCAUUUAAUGUGUAAGAUCCUGUUACUGAGCCUUUAAGAGAAUGAAUCCAUAGCAGGCAAACCAAAGAGAAAUUUGGGUAAAUCCUCCCUUGGAUUAACAAAAUAUAUGCUCUUGAAACAUACUCUUUUGUUAAACAUAUAGUUUGAAAAUGAUAUUCAGCUUCUGACUGGUAAACCACAGGAAAGGGGAAUGAGCCCUCAUUUUGACCUGGAAGGCUACAGCCCUGUCCCUUCUUCCACACGCAUUUCCCCCAAAAAGGCCAUUUCCCUGAGAUUGAUACUGAAUCGGACUGCUAUGGAGACUUUUUUUUUUUUUUGAUAUUGUGAUUUUUGUUGUUAAAACUGUAAUGAGGCCUAUAUUAUUUAACAUUCCCAAUGUGGAAACAAUGAAGUUCUAAAGUAAAUGCCUUUUUUUGUUUUCAGACGGUCUCCCCUUAUCAGCCUGCGUGGCUGUGUACCCAGGAAUGCCACCUAAGGGGGGGGAAAGGCAGACAGCUGUUCCAUAAGCCCACGAUUCUUCUUGAGACGUCAUGUAGAACAAGUAAAAACUAGAUUCAGAUUUUCUUCUUCUUUACUCCCUUUAAAAUUUUCAAAACAGUAUCAUUAAACAACAUAUCAGCCUGCGUGAAAGUGGUUGAAGUUUUGGUGGUUUUUUUCGGACAUUUAAUAGGUCUUUAAAGAAAUGUUACUUUGGUGUUAGAACUUUUUGGUGAAACAGUCUUUGGAGUUCUAUUUACUGGCAUUAUUUACUUACUAGGAGAAUCGGUUUUUUAUCCAGCUUCAGUCUAUAUGAUGUGAAAUCCCAUUUUUGAUAUUUUCUUCUGAUAAACUUUAAUUAGUAAAUAUCCUAAGUUUCCAUCUGUAUACGACGAAGAAUUGUCCCACACCAGUGCACACAAUUUCGGGGGAAACGCUGCAGUGGAGGAACAAGAUACAAGAACCUUCCCGUCCUGUGGGAAGGAUGCUCUUAAGAGGCCUCAGGCUGUUUCUCAUGGCCAGGUCAGAAGUCACCUGCUCAGUUUGCCUCCGGUUUCUAUGGCUCUGUGGGGAGGUGGUGUCUCAACUCUUCCUUCUCCUUGCCGUCCUCUGGGUGAAUACACUCUUUUUGUAAAGUGUUUUGUACUCCUGCUUUUUCAUGUAAGAAUUUUUAUUUAAAAAAAUUGUUUUAAUGUUUUAUUCAUCUUUUGGAGACAGAGUGAGACAGAGUGCAAGUAGGGGAGAGGCAUAGAGAGAGAGACAAAAUCUGAAGCAGGCUCCAGGCGCUGAGCUGUGAGCACAGCUGACACGAACCGUGAGAUCAUGACCUGAGCUGAAGUCAGACGCUGAACUGACCAAGCCACCCAGGUGCCCCAAGGAUUAUUUUUAAUUAAAGCUUUUAUUUAUUUUGAGUGGGGGAGGGGCAGAGGAGGGAGAGAGAGAAUCCCAAGCAGGUUCCUCGCUGACAGCAUGGAGCCCUGUGCAGGACUCAGACUCACGAACUGUGAGUUCAUGACCUGAGCCAAAACCAAAGUCAGACGCUUAACCCACAAAACCACCCAGUUUUUUUCUUGAACUCAGGGAAUUUAAAUUAGGAAUUAGCCCAUUUUUCCUAGAUUUAUUUUUAUUUUUUAAAUGCUUAUUUUUGAGAGAGAGCAUGAGCAGGGGAAGGGCAGAGAGAAGGACACAGAAUCCAAAGCAGGCACCAGGCUCUGAGCUGUCAGCACAGAACCCAACUUGGGGCUUGAAACCACGAACUAUGACAUCAUGACCUGAGCCGAGGCCGGACACUUAGCUGAUUGAGCCACCCAGGCACCCCUCCUGUCUGAAUUUAAAUAGGAGAAUCCCAAGCUACUCCCACUCGUAGUAUAGCAAGUACAACACCUGAACUCUUUUGAUCUGUAUUUUGGGACCAAACGCUAUGUUCUGUGCUCAGGUGUAUCAAGUAUGUGUUCUGGAUUGGACUGAAGACUACGAAGCCAUGUAAAAGUAUUUGUGGAAGGUUCCGUAAGAGGAUCUUGGGAGAUUUUGCUAAGGUGCCUCUCUUCAAGGGCACUCCAAGAUGUAAUAAUAAUGUGGUCCAUGUUCAUGCCACUCAGAUGGACAUCCUCUCUUGCCAAAUUUCGACUCUCGCCUGUGCAUUUAUAGGUGAGUAGUCUGAAAGUUGAAGCUCUAAUGUUCAUUUCAUGGAGAUGAAAGGCAAAUAAGUUUCCCUUAACCAGGUGUCAAAAGAUGCACACAACAGCACAGAUUCUGCGUGUGGACCACAUCCAUAGCACAUGUGGCCUUUGUUCUCAACAGUUCUCGAGACUACUGUGCAAUUUAGCAACUUUGUGUGUGUGUGUGUGUGUGUGUGCGCGUGUGUAUUUUAUCUUUUUUAGGAUGUGAAUAUCCUUUAGAGGGAGAAGCUUCAACUUGUAUAUUCAUUUCCCUUGCAGAAGUGAGGACCUAAUAGGCAAUCAAAAAAUAAUUCAGACUAAAUAUACUUUUUUUUUUUAAGUAACAGUUUUUAUCCUUUGGUGUAUCAUGGAUGCCUCUGAAAAUCUGAUUAAAUGCACAUACUCAACACCUGUAUUCCCAACAGAAUUCCACUUGGGAGGUUGGACAAACUCCUCGCAAGUUGAGAAACUGCUCUGAAAGCUGGCACUUGGGAGAUGUUCCCUCCCCUCCAUCCUUACUGUCAGGACGCAAACACACGCUCCGUAUUUCAUACUGGACUAUUACUUCACACCUCCCCCCUCAGUCUACUUGCCUCUUCUCUCGCCUCCGAAUUACUACCAGAGUCCUCUAACACCCUGAUCAAAACCACCUUUUCCACUACUCAGACUCAUUACAAUAAACAGACCCUUCAGGACAGAGGCUAAGGCCAGUUACGAGCUGCUUUCCUUUUUUGCCUCCACUUUGAGCCUCACCUGUUCGUCCUCCACCACUACCCUUUAUACUUGUGCGCCUUAAGGCCAAGGCUUCGGGCUUCCCCAGAACCUCAUCUCUGUCCGCCUCCUGGUCCAGCGUAUGGCUGUGUCUUUCUGAGAAGCCCUACCGAUGCUCCUCAUCAAGCAGCGGAGAACAGCUUCCUCCACCUGCACACCUCUGUCCAAGCACCUGCACUGCAUUUUAAUUGUGUUUGCAUGACUAUCUCCCCAGCACGGGUCUUUUCAUCUUUGUGUUUUUAUGCCUGGCAUAUUGUAGGACCACAGGAAAUACUCGCUGAAUGAACGAACUGACACUACAUGCAAAACUGUCACAGAAAACCGCAUUAAACCCUGCAGUGUGCAAGGCUAAUGUGCAUCCACAUUCUGCAUCCAUUUUCCCUUGCGGUCUCUGGUCAGAGGGCUAGCAAAGCCACUUAAAGGUAUGUGUCAAAGUACAUACCUUUUCUAGAGCCUCUCACCUCAUUAAUUUAUAUCUGGAAAUGAAGGCUUUGCCACAGUCUGGCUGCAAGCACUUGUAAGGUCGCUCCCUGGAGUGGGAAUAAUUGUGGAUAGUGAACUUCUCCAGGGUGAGGAACGUCUUGCCACAUAAUUGGCAGGGAUAGGUGGCCAUGGGCUUUACUUCUCACACCUUCCUUUUCAGAUGCGCUGACCAAAUGCUGUGCCAUUUAAGCACAAAUGGAAGGAUGGUGCUGAGCACAUGAGCAGAGCCACGGCAGCCUGAACUCCAGACCAGGGGAGAGGCAGCGUCGUGGUCCUGGGCCUGGUUCUACCCAGACAUGGGCCUCUCAGUUACCAUGAGCUUUGCUUCCUGCUUUCCCACAUCCCAAUUUAUAGAUGCAGUCUCAGGCUGGGAGAAUGUCGGAGGCACAGAUGAGGUUCCAGGAGCAUCACCAGAGCUGGGGCAUCUUCUGGAUCGCCAGACUGGCUGUGGAGAGAACAACAGUGUUCUUGUAUUAGCUUGUAUUGGACAAGAGUGCUCUUCCUCUCCUCCCAGCUCAGCAUCGACUACCCAGAAUCCACAUAUUACUUUCAAUGGCUCCAGUGCAGCACCCGAGUCUCUGUCCUCCCUCAUGUGCUUCGGGAGGUCCUUCUGCACAUAAAUCCUCCCAAGUGGCGAGGAGACAAGCACACAGUGUUCUGAUGGUAGGUGAAGCACACUUUCCUUUUGACAGAGACAGCUCUUUCCAUCGACUAAGGUGUGUGUUACCUAUUUCAGAUCAUGACUUCAGGUCAGUGUGAGGCUCAGCCAACCAAUUCAAAGGAAAAAAACCCAAAAAUCUCCCCCAUGUGUUAGAGUGUUUUAUCGGUACAGAAAUAAAAGUCAUCUCUGCUUAUUCAAACCUUGGGCUGUCUUCACCCAUGGUUAGCAUAACAUACGUUGUUUAUCACACCUGUUUAAACUUCCAGGGGAGGAGAUGAAAUAAUUUGUAUACAUCCAAGUUAAUUUGUUUAUAAGGUUACCAUGCUGAAGAUCUCAACAGCGUGAUGUAAACAAAAUGUGAAUAAAACCAGUUUAGUUCACUCAUGUGCCUUUGAGGGUAGACAGAAUAUUCCCACGGAAACAAAAAUGAUGGCUCAGGCUGCAGUCAGAGGUGUAGGUAGCAUCCUCUUGUAAACUGUUCUACUGAUCUCUUCCCCUUUUGUUUCUGGGGACCUUUCCUCAUUCCCCAGCCCCACUCUGGAGGGCCAACUACUCGUUAGUAAGGCCACUUCUAGAAGGUGGGCCUGCUGCCUCAACCUGUCUCAAACCAACCUUCCAACCCAGGCAAAGUCACCCAAAUCCAUGCUCUUCUUCUUCUACCAAUGCGCCACCAUUUGAGGAGCCUUAAGAGUCUCCGGCAGUCAUGAACAAUGCAGAAAAAACCCUGGCUACCUAGAAUCCUGUGCUUUUCUAGAGAGAGUAAUUCUCAGGCAAGUGGAUGCUAACCUUUCAGUUGCCAUACUUAAAAAAAAAAAAAGUACUAUAUGUUUACAUUAAACACACUGGAGUAGCUUGUAUGCAGGCCAGUCUUUUCUGAGCUUUGCCAAGUAAGCAGGGCACCCGCAGCAAAGUGACCAAUCACAGCAGGUCCUCAAGGGCCCGUUUCCUGCAUGCAUUCAUUUACUGCCCAGUCUUUAGAGAUGCUCCUUGUUGUUAAAAGUUUUUACUUACCUUUUCACAGUUACUUUCAUGUAAGAAGGCUGGAGUCUAGCUAGGUCAAAUUUAUUAUAACAACAGUCUAAGCAUCUUUAAACCUACCAGCUCACAGCACACAUACACAGAAAGAGAGAUACUCCUUUUCCAGCGGACAAAACCUAGAGCAGACUUCUUGUGUCCCUCAUCAGCUAGCUCGGAUGUUUGCAGACACUGCUCAGAGCUCGGCAGGAGCCAGCACCAGGCAGAGAGCCCUCCCCCUGUGCCCCGCCUGCUCGGAACCCUCAGAGCUGACACGCAGGCUUUGAGCUGAAGCUUCAGCACUGAUCCAAAACUGGGAACGCGGGCGCUCUCAGCCAGCAUCUUGGCACCAAAACUUCCUUCUGAUGGCAGCACGCACACGCCUUGUUCCUCUGUCACCAAGUGUGACUUGAACUGAGCCCCUCUUCCCCAACUCCUUGUUCCCGCACAGUACUGCAGCUCAUGCCUGAGGCCCUACUCUGAGGCAUCCCCAACGAGCGUGGCCACAGACAAAAUGAUUCCUUCCAGGAAUGCCAUCCUGCGUGGCCGAGUUUUUGCUGCCAGGUCUCAUGACGUGUCCCACUUCCCAUCUAGCCAAAGUCUGGCUGCAAUACUGGCCCAGCUAUAAGAGGCAUAGAAUUUAUCAUCACCAUUAAAUGUCCUCAUUCAUUUGAAAUUUCUGUGUUCCAAGGCUACCAAAAAAGAUUAAAAUGUAAACAUAA